rnacentral:rRNA from 1 species
UACGUAGGGUGCGAGCGUUGUCCGGAAUUAUUGGGCGUAAAGGGCUCGUAGGCGGUUUGUCGCGUCGGGAGUGAAAACCCAGGGCUUAACCCUGGGCUGGCUUCCGAUACGGGCAGACUAGAGGUAUGCAGGGGAGAACGAAUUCCUGGUGUAGCGGUGAAAUGCGCAGAUAUCAGGAGGAACACCGGUGGCGAAGGCGGAUCUCUGGGCCAUUACUGACGCUGAGGAGCGAAAGCGUGGGGAGCGAACAGG